UCUCUGCUCUUCUUCUGCCGAUGUUUGAGAGUUGAGUUUGAGAUUUGAUUUGAGAGAAUCAAUUGAAGUGGGUAUGCAGAUGUUGAAGGUGAUGGUGCUGCUGCGAAUUAGGAAGAUAACUAUAAGGAAUCGAAGACAUAAAUCCAGGGAAGUUCAGUUAGGGUUUGUUAAACUCGUUAAUUGAGUUCGUAUGCAAAUGAUAUGGUACUUAGGUUGCUGCUAGAGGAAGAUAACAAGGGUUGUGGUUGAAUUGAAUAUUAGCAGUUGACUCAGUGUAGAGUUGACCAGAAUUGGGGUUGGUGACGAAUUGAUGAGAUGAAGAUGUUCUGGAGAAGAAUCAAAGCUAAGGUAAUUUAGAGUUUCAUAAUUGAAUUUUUGGUUGGUGUGAAUUAAUCUAAUUCGGUGAAUUGGUGUUGGGUUUAUUUCUGAUUUAAGUAUAAAUGGUUGUAUGAAGUUCAAUUUUGAUUCAAGGGGAAUUAGGGUCUGUUCUUCUUAAUUAGAAUAUGGCAUCCUGGUGUUUGAAUAAUUUACAUGGGAUAGAAGAAAAGUUAAAUAUAAUUGGUGGUGUUAUGUGAAGUUUAUAUAACUGUGGUCGUAGUUCAGAUUUGGUUGAAUUACAGGGGACAUUUAUUAUAGUGGGGGUCUGGGAAUGUAUGUACUAGUGGUGGUAAUGGAAUUGGUUAAGCUGAGUUGUUGUUUGAUCUGGGUGUGGAUUGAACUGAGAUGAGUUGAAGUAGACUAUUGUUUAGCUUCAGUUGUGAGAAUUGUAUUGCAGGUGAUAUGGGAUUGAUCAGAUGAUGGAUGAAUGUUGUAGUUAUUACAGAUGAUCAGUGUUAUCUGAAUUGAAGCUUAGACACAUGAAUUAGAAGAUUUAUGAACAUAUAGCUGGGGUUAAGUUGUUUUGCAGACAAAUUGUAAAUGCAGAAGGAGUGAAAAGAAGACUAUGGUGGUGAACUGUGAUAAGAACUGUUGGCUGGUGAAGUGAAUCCGAGAUUGAGAUAAGUGCAAAAUGGAGUUGUGGUUAUAGUUUGGGGUUGUAAUGUGUUGUAAGAUGGACUGAUAGUGGUGUUGCAGGUGAAAUAGUUGGUGGUGUUACUGGUUCAGUUGAUAAUGAAAGUAAAUGUUGAUACUGUUGUGACUAUGAAGAAGGUUAUCGGUUUCUUGAGAUGAUGAAUGAGUUAUGAAUUCGAAUGUGCUGGUUGUUGUAGAAUUGGAGUUGCAACUACAGAGUUGAGGUGUGUGAGCUGUUGGUUGGUAGUAGGGUUUUUCCAGUCACAGGACAUGAAAGAAGUAUAUGAUGUAGUAUGAAUGUAAUGGGUUAUGGUAGAUGUAGGGAUAUUGAUGGACUCGGUGGAGGCUUGCAUCUGCUACCUGCAGGAUACAGGUCCUUCAUUUACUGGUGCGAGACGAGUCACCAUAUUAUUAUAUAGGUGCGGGACGAUUCACCAUAUUAUUAUCUAGUUUCAGAGACAGAUCAGAGUUGCGUAGCGAAAGCUUCAAG